GCCAUCGAGGGUCCCAGGUGGUGCCUGCGACCUGCUAAGUACAGGUGGACGACCCUCGGCUGCUCCGCAGCAGAGCUCCUGUAAGAUGUGCUGGUUCUGGUGCAGGCUGGUGCUCAGUGAAAGUACUACUGUCUGCCCGGAGCUUUAGGAACUUGAAGGAAUGUGGGCCGCAAGCCUCCAGCGUGCUUGGGUCUGCGGUGACCCUGUGCAUUCCUACAGUGCUUGCAAGAAAAUUUUGAGACGGUUUGAGGCCUUGCCCUGCUCCAUCCAGAGCAAGGUUAUAGAAAUUUCAGACAGUUGCUUGUUCCCUUCCCUGUCUGGCAUUCUGGGCGGCGCACAGACCUGUACUGUUUGAUGUGACCACUCGACACAUAUGGUUACAUUUAAAACUCAGUUUUUCCUUCACACUACCUACAUUUUAGGUGCUCACUAGCCACAUUUGGCAAGCGACUACUAUAUUGAACCAUGCAAAUUGGAGAACAUUGAUAGCUUUGCAGAAAUUGUUUUGGACUUUGGGUGUUAGGUGUGUUCCAGGCUCUUUGAAAAUUUUAUUCUAUCUUCCCAACAAAACUCUCACAGAAGAAAAUGAAGCUUAGAGGGAAUGCUAAAGGUGGAGUUAGACCAGCAGCAGGGAAUAUAGAGUAGAAGGAAAUAAUGGGGAUAGGCCCUGCCCUGAGGGACUGACAUACAGGGUGUUACUAUUAGCUGG